CAGAUGCUGUCAGUGUGCAAUAAAUGUCUGAAAGGGAGAAACAGGAGCAAGAGUUUGGAAGCAGAACAGUUGGGGGAAUGAGGGAGACUAACGGACAGGGCAUGUUCCUCUGGUGCCACGUGAGACAGGCAGCGAUGUUGCCAAGUGUCCCGGAAGCUGGACGGGAAUCAGGCACCGAGCGCCUUGUAUCCUGAUUAGCUGGCAAGUCUUUUCUUUCUCCCAUGGCACAGAAGACCCCAGAAGGGUUUUAAGUCAGGAGGUGACGUGACUGGAGGUGCAACACCAGCUGGCCACGGGAUGGAGGAAGGGUCCCUGGCCUUACACAGCGCUCACCCCAGGCCCUGCUGGCCCAGCACACAGCAGGUGAGGCUUGGGAAAACUCUUCCAGCCUUCUCUGAUCGGCCCACUUCCGCCCCUCUGGAGCCUGGGAGCCCUGCCCUCUGGAAUAACCCAGCUCCACGUCUCCUAGAGCCGGACCUUGCUGCAGUCAGCCACUGCGGUGGCAACAACCCACUGAGGCACCGAAUUAAACAAAAAAGGGUUGAGGUUAUGAAAGGAGAGGUUCCAGCUAGAGUUCAAGAAAGUCUUCCAGACCUGCCUGCAGAGAAUUAAACCCAGACACUGUGAAGUGCCCGUCCCAUCCUUCAAGAACCAGCUCAGAUGCCUCCUCUCUGGGAAGCCUUUCCUGCGCCCCCAAGGCUGUUGCUCACUGGAGAGCCCUGAGAGCAGGCAUUAUACUGCAUCCCAUUUGUAUAUUUUGUAUCCCUUUCUAUCUCAUAAAUGGGGCAGGAAUUCAAUCAAGACCUGAGUCAAUUUAUUUUAUUUAUACUGAGAACUUCUGUGGCAGUCUCUGUGCUAGGGGAAUACGGAGGACACAGGACACAAUGCACAGUCCAGUUCAGGGAGAACCAAUGAAUGGAGUUGGUACAAAAGCUAGCGUUGGGGUUUGAGAGUGAUACUUACACCCCCUCCCCAAGUUCAGGCCAGCUGAGAGGUAUGCACACAGGCCCAUCAGGCAGGAGGAUGGAGAGCCAAGUCAGCUUUAUUGGUAGCUGCUGAUAUUUGGACCUAAGCUCAAAAAAUUUGCCCUUUCAUGUCUAGAUCUUGAGAAGACCCACCCAAGGGACAGUCUGGAUCCGCAGGACAGACAUACCUACCCAGUCUUUG
rnacentral:lncRNA from 1 species